UACGUAGGGGGCAGGCGUUGUCCGGAAUCAUUGGGCGUAAAGCGCGUGUAGGCGGCCCGAUAAGUCCGCUGUGAAAGUCCAGGGCUCAACCCUGGGAUGCCGGUGGAUACUGUCGGGCUCGAGUCCGGAAGAGGAGUGUGGAAUUCCUGGUGUAGCGGUGAAAUGCGCAGAUAUCAGGAAGAACACCAAUGGCGAAGGCAGCUCUCUGGGACGGUACUGACGCUGAGACGCGAAAGCGUGGGGAGCGAACAGG
rnacentral:rRNA from 1 species